rnacentral:rRNA from 1 species
GACGAACGCUGGCGGCGUGCCUAAUACAUGCAAGUCGAACGAACUCUGGUAAUGAUUGGUGCUUGCAUCAUGAAUUACAUCUGAGUGAGUGGCGAACUGGUGAGUAACACGUGGGAAACCUGCCCAGAAGCGGGGGAUAACACCUGGAAACAGAUGCUAAUACCGCAUAACAACUUGGACCGCAUGGUCCGAGUUUGAAAGAUGGCUUCGGCUGUCACUUUUGGAUGGUCCCGCGGCGUAUUAGCUAGAUGGUGAGGUAACGGCUCACCAUGGCAAUGAUACGUAGCCGACCUGAGAGGGUAAUCGGCCACAUUGGGACUGAGACACGGCCCAAACUCCUACGGGAGGCAGCAGUAGGGAAUCUUCCACAAUGGACGAAAGUCUGAUGGAGCAACGCCGCGUGAGUGAAGAAGGGUUUCGGCUCGUAAAACUCUGUUGUUAAAGAAGAACAUAUCUGAGAGUAACUGUUCAGGUAUUGACGGUAUUUAACCAGAAAGCCACGGCUAACUACGUGCCAGCAGCCGCAGUAA